GAAACUGGGGACUUGCUUGGUGUGGUGGGGAUAAGUGGCUCUGUCUUGUUUUCAGCUGGUCUCUGUCUGACCCUAGUGAAUCAGUUACUCUGGGUUGAAGUCUCAGCUGUGGAGAAAUACCAGCAAGUCUGGGAAUCACAAUUUGCUUUGGGAUCUCAAGAGAAGAGGAAUUUACCCAAGGCAUAUAGGGGAUCAAGUCUAGGUCAAGGUUCCAAACCAAGUCCCUCUCAAACCAAGGUAGAAGGGACCCUACACUGUCAUCCUGACCACACCCACUGCAGAUAGAAGGAAUCCUUGCCUGGAUCGAUCACAGCAGGCUGAAGAAAGUGUUACUGCUUUAGGAAGCAAAAACGGACCCAGCCAACCCCUGCAAGCCCACAGGUUCUGUAAAAGCUGGAGCCAGCUUCUCCAGUUUGAUUUAAACUGACCAGUGAGAAAGUUAGCCAUGGGCUGGAACUUUUUGACUGGAGAUUAAAAGGAGAAGACUGAGCCAGUUGGGGAGUGCGACCAUUUUGAAUUCUUCUGUGCUAUAGCUCCGCCAGCUGAAAUAAAACUCUUCCUCUUUUAAACACAGUGUCUGGGUGUUAGUUCUCUCUAUUAGGCCUCGUCUUCCUGCAACAGCACCAGCUUGUUAUGGUCUAAGAGGUGCUGCAUGAGCUAAGUGUUGAUGAACAACUGGAAAUAAGCACCUAGAGGAAGGUUGAAAAGGGUGCUAUAGGCA